rnacentral:rRNA from 1 species
CAUCGCCUCUUGCCCACAUAAGAGGUCCAGCCUGCCCAGUGACUUAGUUCAACGGCCGCGGUAUCCUGACCGUGCGAAGGUAGCGUAAUCACUUGUUCUCUAAAUAAGGACUAGUAUGAAUGGCACCACGAGGGUCGCACUGUCUCCCUCCCCCUAUCAGUGAAACUGAUCCUCCCGUGAAGAAGCGGGGAUCAAAAUAUAAGACGAGAAGACCCCUUGGAGCUUCAAACAACCCGGCACUUGCUUAAUAACUUUUUAACCUCGGAAUUCCCAUAAAAACAAGCACGCAUGACCACAAGUUUUUGGUUGGGGCGACCACGGAGAACAACCAAACCUCCGAGAUGUAUAGAGUAAUACCCUAAGCCAAAAGCCACCGCUUUAAGCAUCAACACCUUGACAUACAUUGACCCAAUUUAAUUGACCAACGAACCAAGUUACCCCGGGGAUAACAGCGCAAUCCAUUUCUAGAGCCCCUAUCGACAAAUGGGUUUACGACCUCGAUGUUGGAUCAGGGCAUCCCGGUGGUGAAGCCGCUACCGACGGUUCGUUUGUUCAACGAUUAAAGCCCUACGUGAUCUGA